GACGAACGCUGGCGGCGUGCUUAACACAUGCAAGUCGAACGGAAAGGCCCUGCUUUUGUGGGGUGCUCGAGUGGCGAACGGGUGAGUAACACGUGAGUAACCUGCCCUUGACUUUGGGAUAACUUCAGGAAACUGGGGCUAAUACCGGAUAGGAGCUCCUGCUGCAUGGUGGGGGUUGGAAAGUUUCGGCGGUUGGGGAUGGACUCGCGGCUUAUCAGCUGGUUGGUGGGGUAGUGGCUGACCAAGGCUUUGACGGGUAGCCGGCCUGAGAGGGUGACCGGCCACAUUGGGACUGAGAUACGGCCCAGACUCGUACGGGAGGCAGCAGUGGGGAAUAUUGCACAAUGGGCGGAAGCCUGAGGCAGAAACGCCGCGUGCGGGAUGACCGCCUUCGGGUUGUAAACCGCUUUCGCCUGUGACGAAGCGUGAGUGACGGUAAUGGGUAAAGAAGCACCGGCUAACUACGUG
rnacentral:rRNA from 1 species